UUCCACCUCACUGGUAUUUUGACGUCACUCCUUGUUCAAUUUGCAUAUUCGCACACUGCGCAGACAGCCGAACCCAGUAAUCAGGCCCCCGAAAUGCGGAAGUCUGCGAAUGCAUUGCGAAAACCGCUACGCAUGCGAAAAACUCGUUUUCCACCGCCCUCUUCGCUUCACCCCCACCGCCCCACUAGAAAAACACGCAAUAAUCCCCGUAAGAUGACCUUGAUAUUGCCAACGGGCCAAUGCGUGUGUGUGCGUGUGGGGAAACUGGUCCAGUGGAGCUGUAAACGGUUUAAGUCAUAUAAACCACGUUAGUUAUGCGACAGUUUAUGGCUUACAGUAAAGUUGCUAGGUCGGAGGAAAAGUCAAACGUGUACCUAGAGUUGUCUGACUGACUUUUGACGAGUGUGCAGGGUCAUCCGUGAAUCAGCUAUCAAAUCACCAUCUCCCCAUCAUCUGAAACUCCUUGCCUCCUUUCCACCAGGAAUAAAUGGAUCGUAUUUCCCGACGAGUUUGGCGAGCUUGGUUUUGACUUCUGAUGGAAAUGGAAAUGGAGAUGUAGAUGGUGAUGAUGGAACCGAUAAGCGUUUAGCAUUAAAUUUUUGUUAACCUUCCGCGCGGAGUUGACUCGCUCGAUUUCAGAAAACGCUCGACUGCAUCUUGAAUUACAAAUAAUCGCAAUUGUCUGCCCAUAUAUCUGCCUGCUCGUUUUCGCUUUGUUCGGGUGGUAGUUCCUAGUUUCCUGGUCCGCAGCUCUGACCCGGGCUCCUGGGCUCGGAAUAGCAGCUGAAAUAAUUGAGAGACAACGCGGAAUUACGACAGCAUGGAUGUGGAUGAGGAUGAGGAUGAGGAAAACGCUCUGCUUUGCAUGAUGCAUCCCCUCCCUGAGGGCACAACCCUCAUUAUCUCUUUGCCGAUUGUGAUUAACUCGGCCAAAGUGAAAGCCUGACAAAUAAAACGCUGAAUGGACCCGUCAGCCAUCUCUUUCUGGCUGCUGCAGAUGACGGGGCAAUCACAACAGAAAUAACAACAAAAUCAACCUCCUGGUACAACUCCCUCCCUCGAAAUUCUGGGUGGCAGUAUCGUCGCAUCAGGCAAACGCCUCAAAAUCGAAAUGGAAAUCAAAAAGGCAGCAGCAGAGAGGCCAGCGAAGAAGGACGCGUCGGGAGUACAGUGGACGCUCGAGCAUGACGGAUUUAGUAAAAUUAAUUAAAUAUUUUCAAUAUUUUAUGCUAUAAGAAUAUAAAGAAAAGGCUCUUUAAAAUGGUUUAUGAAUAUGUUUUAGAUGUAACUGCAGUUCUAUUACUAUAGAUAUUUAAUAUAGAGGAAAUUCUCGAACUUCA